rnacentral:rRNA from 1 species
GGGUUGUGAGGUUAAGCGACUAAGCGUACACGGUGGAUGCCCUGGCAGUCAGAGGCGAUGAAGGGCGUGCUAAUCUGCGAUAAGCGCCGGUAAGGUGAUAUGAACCGUUAUAACCGGCGAUACCCGAAUGGGGAAACCCAGUGUGAUUCGUCACACUAUCAUUAACUGAAUUCAUAGGUUAAUGAGGCGAACCGGGGGAACUGAAACAUCUAAGUACCCCGAGGAAAAGAAAUCAACCGAGAUUCCCCCAGUAGCGGCGAGCGAACGGGGAGGAGCCCAGAGCCUGAAUCAGCAUGUGUGUUAGUGGAAGCGUCUGGAAAGUCGCGCGAUACAGGGUGACAGCCCCGUACACAAAAGCGCAUGUGCUGUGAGCUCGAUGAGUAGGGCGGGACACGUGGUAUCCUGUCUGAAUAUGGGGGGACCAUCCUCCAAGGCUAAAUACUCCUGACUGACCGAUAGUGAACCAGUACCGUGAGGGAAAGGCGAAAAGAACCCCGGCGAGGGGAGUGAAACAGAACCUGAAACCGUGUACGUACAAGCAGUGGGAGCACAGGUUUACCUGUGUGACUGCGUACCUUUUGUAUAAUGGGUCAGCGACUUAUAUUCUGUAGCAAGGUUAACCGAAUAGGGGAGCCGGAGGGAAACCGAGUCUUAAUUGGGCGUUAAGUUGCAGGGUAUAGACCCGAAACCCGGUGAUCUAGCCAUGGGCAGGUUGAAGGUUGGGUAACACUAACUGGAGGACCGAACCGACUAAUGUUGAAAAAUUAGCGGAUGACCUGUGGCUGGGGGUGAAAGGCCAAUCAAACCGGGAGAUAGCUGGUUCUCCCCGAAAGCUAUUUAGGUAGCGCCUCGUGAAUUCAUCUCCGGGGGUAGAGCACUGUUUCGGCUAGGGGGCCAUCCCGGCUUACCAACCCGAUGCAAACUGCGAAUACCGGAGAAUGUUAUCACGGGAGACACACGGCGGGUGCUAACGUCCGUCGUGAAGAGGGAAACAACCCAGACCGCCAGCUAAGGUCCCAAAGUCAUGGUUAAGUGGGAAACGAUGUGGGAAGGCCCAGACAGCCAGGAUGUUGGCUUAGAAGCAGCCAUCAUUUAAAGAAAGCGUAAUAGCUCACUGGUCGAGUCGGCCUGCGCGGAAGAUGUAACGGGGCUAAACCAUGCACCGAAGCUGCGGCAGCGACGUUUAUGCGUUGUUGGGUAGGGGAGCGUUCUGUAAGCCUGCGAAGGUGGCCUGUGAGGGUUGCUGGAGGUAUCAGAAGUGCGAAUGCUGACAUAAGUAACGAUAAAGCGGGUGAAAAGCCCGCUCGCCGGAAGACCAAGGGUUCCUGUCCAACGUUAAUCGGGGCAGGGUGAGUCGACCCCUAAGGCGAGGCCGAAAGGCGUAGUCGAUGGGAAACGGGUUAAUAUUCCCGUACUUGGUGUUACUGCGAAGGGGGGACGGAGAAGGCUAUGUUGGCCGGGCGACGGUUGUCCCGGUUUAAGCGUGUAGGUGUGUGUUCCAGGUAAAUCCGGUUCACUUUAACACUGAGGCGUGAUGACGAGGCACUACGGUGCUGAAGCAACAAAUGCCCUGCUUCCAGGAAAAGCCUCUAAGCAUCAGGUAACAUCAAAUCGUACCCCAAACCGACACAGGUGGUCAGGUAGAGAAUACCAAGGCGCUUGAGAGAACUCGGGUGAAGGAACUAGGCAAAAUGGUGCCGUAACUUCGGGAGAAGGCACGCUGACACGUAGGUGAAGUGAUUUACUCAUGGAGCUGAAGUCAGUCGAAGAUACCAGCUGGCUGCAACUGUUUAUUAAAAACACAGCACUGUGCAAACACGAAAGUGGACGUAUACGGUGUGACGCCUGCCCGGUGCCGGAAGGUUAAUUGAUGGGGUCAGCGCAAGCGAAGCUCCUGAUCGAAGCCCCGGUAAACGGCGGCCGUAACUAUAACGGUCCUAAGGUAGCGAAAUUCCUUGUCGGGUAAGUUCCGACCUGCACGAAUGGCGUAAUGAUGGCCAGGCUGUCUCCACCCGAGACUCAGUGAAAUUGAACUCGCUGUGAAGAUGCAGUGUACCCGCGGCAAGACGGAAAGACCCCGUGAACCUUUACUAUAGCUUGACACUGAACAUUGAGCCUUGAUGUGUAGGAUAGGUGGGAGGCUUUGAAGCGUGGACGCCAGUCUGCGUGGAGCCGACCUUGAAAUACCACCCUUUAAUGUUUGAUGUUCUAACGUGGACCCGUAAUCCGGGUUGCGGACAGUGUCUGGUGGGUAGUUUGACUGGGGCGGUCUCCUCCUAAAGAGUAACGGAGGAGCACGAAGGUUGGCUAAUCCUGGUCGGACAUCAGGAGGUUAGUGCAAUGGCAUAAGCCAGCUUGACUGCGAGCGUGACGGCGCGAGCAGGUGCGAAAGCAGGUCAUAGUGAUCCGGUGGUUCUGAAUGGAAGGGCCAUCGCUCAACGGAUAAAAGGUACUCCGGGGAUAACAGGCUGAUACCGCCCAAGAGUUCAUAUCGACGGCGGUGUUUGGCACCUCGAUGUCGGCUCAUCACAUCCUGGGGCUGAAGUAGGUCCCAAGGGUAUGGCUGUUCGCCAUUUAAAGUGGUACGCGAGCUGGGUUUAGAACGUCGUGAGACAGUUCGGUCCCUAUCUGCCGUGGGCGCUGGAGAACUGAGGGGGGCUGCUCCUAGUACGAGAGGACCGGAGUGGACGCAUCACUGGUGUUCGGGUUGUCAUGCCAAUGGCACUGCCCGGUAGCUAAAUGCGGAAGAGAUAAGUGCUGAAAGCAUCUAAGCACGAAACUUGCCCCGAGAUGAGUUCUCCCUGAGACUU